AUUGAACGCUGGCGGCAUGCCUUACACAUGCACGUCGAACGGUAACAGGUCUUCGGAUGCUGACGAGUGGCGAACGGGUGAGUAAUACAUCGGAACGUGCCCGAGAGUGGGGGAUAACGAGGCGAAAGCUUUGCUAAUACCGCAUACGAUCUCAGGAUGAAAGCAGGGGACCGCAAGGCCUUGCGCUCACGGAGCGGCCGAUGGCAGAUUAGGUAGUUGGUGGGAUAAAAGCUUACCAAGCCGACGAUCUGUAGCUGGUCUGAGAGGACGACCAGCCACACUGGGACCGAGCAACGGCCCAGACUCCUGCGGGAGGCAGCAGUGGGGAAUUUUGGACAAUGGGCGCAAGCCUGAUCCAGCCAGGCCGCGUGCAGGAUGAAGGCCUUCGGGUUGUAAACUGCUUUUGUACGGAACGAAAAGACUCUGGUUAAUACCUGGGGUCCAUGACGGUACCGUAAGAAUAAGCACCGGCUAACUACGUGCCAGCCGCCGCCGUAAGAC
rnacentral:rRNA from 1 species